rnacentral:rRNA from 1 species
AGAGUUUGAUCCUGGCUCAGGAUGAACGCUGGCGGCGUGCUAACACAUGCAAGUCGAACGAAGCACUUUUUAUGAAGCCCCUCGGGGCGGAGCAAAAGUGACUUAGUGGCGGAUGGGUGAGUAACGCGUGGGCAACCUGCCUUGCACUGGGGGAUAACAACCGGAAACGGUUGCUAAUACCGCAUAAGCGCACAGAUACGCAUGUAUCAGUGUGAAAAUAUUUAUAGGUGUAAGAUGGGCCCGCGUCUGAUUAGCUAGUUGGUAAGGUAACGGCUUACCAAGGCGAUGAUCAGUAGCCGGCUUGAGAGAGUGACCGGCCACAUUGGGACUGAGACACGGCCCAAGCUCCUACGGGAGGCAGCAGUGGGGAAUAUUGCACAAUGGGCGAAAGCCUGAUGCAGCGACGCCGCGUGAGUGAAGAAGUAUUUCGGUAUGUAAAGCUCUAUCAGCAGGGACGAUAAUGACGGUACCUGACUAAGAAGCCCCGGCUAACUACGUGCCAGCAGCCGCGGUAAUACGUAGGGGGCAAGCGUUAUCCGGAUUUACUGGGUGUAAAGGGAGCGUAGGUGGCAAAGCAAGUCAGAUGUGAAAGCCCGUGGCUUAACCGCGGGAUUGCAUCAGAAACUGCUUAGCUAGAGUACAGGAGAGGUAAGCGGAAUUCCUAGUGUAGCGGUGAAAUGCGUAGAUAUUAGGAGGAACAUCAGUGGCGAAGGCGGCUUACUGGACUGUAACUGACACUGAGGCUCGAAAGCGUGGGGAGCAAACAGGAUUAGAUACCCUGGUAGUCCACGCCAUAAACGAUGAAUACUAGGUGUUGGGGCCCAAAGGGCUUCGGUGCCGGCGCAAACGCAUUAAGUAUUCCACCUGGGGAGUACGUACGCAAGUAUGAAACUCAAAUGAAUUGACGG